rnacentral:rRNA from 1 species
CGGGUGCACUGAUCCAGCCGGGCCUUUCCCUCUGUGGAACCCCAUGGCCUUCACUGGCUGUGGUGGGGAAACAGGACUUUUACUUUGAAAAAAUUAGAGUGCUCCAGGCAGGCCUAUGCUCGAAUACAUUAGCAUGGAAUAAUAGAAUAGGACGUGUGGUUCUAUUUUGUUGGUUUCUAGGACCGCCGUAAUGAUUAAUAGGGACAGUCGGGGGCAUCAGUAUUCAAUUGUCAGAGGUGAAAUUCUUGGAUCUAUUGAAGACUAACUACUGCGAAAGCAUUUGCCAAGGAUGUUUUCAUUGAUAAGGAACGAAAGUUAGGGGAUCGAAGACGAUCAGAUACCGUCGUAGUCUUAACUAUAAACUAUGCCGACUAGGGAUCGGACGAUGUUAUUCUUUGACGCGUUCGGGCACCUUUCGAGAAAUCAAAGUGCUUGGGCUCCAGGGGGAGUAUGGUCGCAAGGCUGAAACUUAAAGAAAUUGACGGAAGGGCACCACCCAGGGGGUGGAACCUGCGGCUUAAUUUGACUCAACACGGGGGAAACUCACCAGGUCCAGACACAGUGAGGAUUGACAGAUUGAGAGCUCUUUCUUGAUUCUGUGGGUGGUGGUGCAUGGCCGUUCUUAGUUGGUGGAGUGAUUGUCUGCUUAAUUGCGAUAACGAACGAGACCUUAACUGCUAAAUAGCCCGUACUGCUUUGGCAGUUCGCCGGCUUCUUAGAGGGACUAUCGG